rnacentral:rRNA from 1 species
UCACUCUAGCGAGACUGCCGGUAAUAAACCGGAGGAAGGUGGGGAUGACGUCAAAUCAUCAUGCCCCUUAUGACCUGGGCUACACACGUGCUACAAUGGUUGGUACAACGAGUUGCGAGUCGGUGACGGCGAGCUAAUCUCUUAAAGCCAAUCUCAGUUCGGAUUGUAGGCUGCAACUCGCCUACAUGAAGUCGGAAUCGCUAGUAAUCGCGGAUCAGCACGCCGCGGUGAAUACGUUCCCGGGCCUUGUACACACCGCCCGUCACACCACGAGAGUUUGUAACACCCGAAGUCGGUGAGGUAACCUUUUGGAGCCAGCCGCCUAAGGUGGGACAGAUGAUUGGGGUGAAGUCGUAACAAGGGUAACCGUUAG